GAAUGAUGAUCCUCUUUAGAAUGAAUGUGUAUUAAACCUUAAAUAGGAUUUGGGUUCGGCUGGCAAAAUAAGGUUUUUCCCCUGGGUCAUUUUCUGCUCUUACAUGAUCACGGAGGCUUGAUCAUGAUUACCGCUUCUACUAUCGUGGAGGACAAAUCAUGAUUGCCAUUGGUUUACUAGCUUGAGUAAUUACGAUCUUGUCACUCAUCCCACGAUUGUGAUAACUGAGGGCCAAAUCCUUCUUUUUUUUCAGCUUGUACAAUGUUUGCACUUCUAUUGCCUUUUUAUCCUUAUUAGCC
rnacentral:lncRNA from 1 species